rnacentral:rRNA from 1 species
AUUGAACGCUGGCGGCAUGCUUUACACAUGCAAGUCGAACGGUAACAGGCCGCAAGGUGCUGACGAGUGGCGAACGGGUGAGUAAUGCAUCGGAACGUGCCCAGUCGUGGGGGAUAACUACUCGAAAGAGUAGCUAAUACCGCAUACGAUCUAUGGAUGAAAGCGGGGGACCGUAAGGCCUCGCGCGAUUGGAGCGGUCGAUGUCAGAUUAGGUAGUUGGUGGGGUAAAGGCUCACCAAGCCAACGAUCUGUAGCUGGUCUGAGAGGACAACCAGCCACACUGGGACUGAGACACGGCCCAGACUCCUACGGGAGGCAGCAGUGGGGAAUUUUGGACAAUGGGCGCAAGCCUGAUCCAGCAAUGCCGCGUGCAGGAAGAAGGCCUUCGGGUUGUAAACUGCUUUUGUACGGAACGAAACGGCUCUGGUUAAUACCCGGGGCUAAUGACGGUACCGUAAGAAUAAGCACCGGCUAACUACGUG